rnacentral:pre_miRNA from 1 species
UUUGGGGUUGGGGUCCCUCAGCCUGGAUUGCAAGAGGGCGCAGGCCAGGCUGAGGGACCCCACCAGUGCACG